rnacentral:rRNA from 1 species
UACAGAGGUCCCAAGCGUUGUUCGGAUUCACUGGGCGUAAAGGGUGCGUAGGUGGUCGGAUAAGUCUGAUGUGAAAUCUCCGAGCUUAACUCGGAAAUGGCAUUGGAUACUAUUCGGCUAGAGAGUUGGAGGGGGGACUGGAAUACUUGGUGUAGCAGUGAAAUGCGUAGAUAUCAAGUGGAACACCAGUGGCGAAGGCGAGUCCCUGGACAACUUCUGACACUGAGGCACGAAAGCUAGGGGAGCAAACAGG